rnacentral:rRNA from 1 species
UGCGAGUCGAGAGGGUUCGGCCCUCGGCUGACGGCUCAGUAACACGUGGAUAAUCUGCCCUUAGGUGGAGGAUAAUCUCGGGAAACUGAGGAUAAUACUCCAUAGGUCUAAGAUGCUGGAAUGCACCUAGGCUCAAAACCCCGGUGCCUAAGGAUGAGUCUGCGGACUAUCAGGUUGUAGUCAGGGUAAUGACCUGACUAGCCUACGACGGAUACGGGUUGUGAGAGCAAUAACCCGGAGAUGAUAUCUGAGACACGAUAUCAGGCCCUACGGGGCGCAGCAGGCGCGAAAACUUCACAAUGUGCGAAAGCACGAUGAGGGAAUCCCAAGUGCUUGCACGUAAGUGUAAGCUGUUUCUUUGUUUAAAACGCAUUGAGAGUAAGGGCUGGGUAAGACGGGUGCCAGCCGCCGCGGUAAUACCUGCAGCUCAAGUGGUGGCCGCUAUUAUUGGGCCUAAAACGUCCGUAGCCGGUUUAUUAAAUGCCUGGGUAAAUCGUGUAGCUUAACUAUACGAAUUCCGGGUAGACUGAUAAACUUGAGAUCGGGAGAAGUUAGAGGUACUCCUGGGGUAGAGGUGAAAUUCUGUAAUCCUAGGGGGACCACCAGUGGCGAAGGCGUCUGACUAGAACGGGUCUGACGGUGAGGGACGAAGCCCUGGGGCGCAAACCGGAUUAGAUACCCGGGUAGUCCAGGGUGUAAACGCUGCUUGCUUGAUGUUAGUCGGGCUCCGAGCCCGAUUAGUGUCGGAGAGAAGUUGUUAAGCAAGCUGCCUGGGAAGUACGGUCGCAAGACUGAAACUUAA